UACAGAGGGUGCGAGCGUUAAUCGGAAUUACUGGGCGUAAAGGGUGCGCAGGCGGUCUCGUAAGCUGGGUGUGAAAUCCCCCCGGCUUAACCUGGGAACUGCGCCUGAUACUGGGAGGCUUGAGUAUGGGAGAGGGAUGUAGAAAUUCCAGGUGUAGCGGUGAAAUGCGUAGAUAUCUGGAGGAAUACCGGUGGCGAAGGCGGCAUCCUGGACCAUUACUGACGCUGAAUCGCGAAAGCUAGGGGAGCAAACGGGG
rnacentral:rRNA from 1 species